UACCAGCACCCCGAGUGGUCGGGACGUUUAUUGGGCCUAAAGCAUCCGUAGCCGGUUCUACAAGUCUUCCGUUAAAUCCACCUGCUUAACAGAUGGGCUGCGGAAGAUACUAUGGAGCUAGGAGGCGGGAGAGGCAAGCGGUACUCGAUGGGUAGGGGUAAAAUCCGUUGAUCCAUUGAAGACCACCAGUGGCGAAGGCGGCUUGCCAGAACGCGCU
rnacentral:rRNA from 1 species